rnacentral:rRNA from 1 species
GACGAACGCUGGCGGCGUGCUUAACACAUGCAAGUCGAACGGAAAGUCCCUGCUUUUGUGGGUUGCUCGAUUUGCGAACUUGUGAGUAACACGUUAGUAACCUGCCCUUGACUUUGUUAUAACUUCAGGAAACUUGGGCUAAUACCGGAUAGGAUCUCCUGCUGCAUGGUUUGGUUUGGAAAUUUUCGGCUGUUGGGGAUGGACUCGCUGCUUAUCAGCUUGUUGGUGGGGUAGUUGCUUACCAAGGCUUUGACGGGUAGCCGGCAUGAGAGGGUGACCGGCAACAUUGGGACUGAGAUACGGCCCAGACUCCAACGGGAGGCAGCAGUGGGGAAUAUUGCACAAUGGGAGGAAGCCUGAUGAAGCAACGCCGCGUGCGGGAUGACGGCCUUCGGGUUGUAAACCGAUGUCGCCUGUGACGAAGCGUGAGUGACGGUAAUGGGUAAAGAAGCACCGGCUAACUACGUG